rnacentral:rRNA from 1 species
UGAGUACGAGACGCUACGGCGUCGAAGCAGUCUAUGUCAUACUUCCAAGAAAAGCUUGCACUGUCAUAAACAAAUAAUGCCUGUACCAUAACCGACACAGGUGGGUAGGUAGAGUAUACUAAGGGGCGCGAGAUAACUCUCUCUAAGGAACUCGGCAAAAUGACUCCGUAACUUCGGGAGAAGGAGUGCCUUAUUCUUAAGGUUGCAAUAACAAGAUCCAAGCAACUGUUUAUCAAAAACACAGGUCUCCGCUAAGUCGUAAGACGAUGUAUGGGGGCUGACGCCUGCCCAGUGCCAGAAGGUUAAAGAAGUUGGUUAGCAUUCGCGAAGCUGAUAACUGAAGCCCUGGUGAACGGCGGCCGUAACUAUAACGGUCCUAAGGUAGCGAAAUUCCUUGUCGGGUAAGUUCCGACCCGCACGAAAGGCGUAAUGAUUUGGAUACUGUCUCGGAGAGGGGCUCGGUGAAAUAGACUUGUCUGUGAAGAUGCGGACUACCUGCACCUGGACAGAAAGACCCUAUGAAGCUUUACUGUAACUUGAAAUUGAAAUUGGACUUUAUUUGCGCAGUAUAGGUGGGAGGCGUUGAGAAUAUUCUUGCGGGAAUAUUGGAGCCAUCAGUGAGAUACCACUCUUGUAAUGUUAGAUUUCUAACUUUGAAUCAUUAUCUGGUCAAAGGACAGUUUCAGGCGGGCAGUUUGACUGGGGCGGUCGCCUCCUAAAUGGUAACGGAGGCGCACAAAGGUUUCCUCUGAACGGGUAGAAAUCGUAUCUAGAGUGUAAAGGCAUAAGGAAGCUUGACUGUGAGACCUACAAGUCGAGCAGGGACGAAAGUCGGUCUUAGUGAUCUGACGGUGCUGAGUGGAAAGGCCGUCACUCAACGGAUAAAAGUUACUCUAAGGAUAACAGGCUGAUCUCCCCCAAGAGUUCACAUCGACGGGGAGGUUUGGCACCUCGAUGUCGGCUCAUCGCAUCCUGGGGCGGUAGUACGUCCCAAGGGUUGGGCUGUUCGCCCAUGAAAGCGGUACGCGAGCUGGGUUCAGAACGUCAUGAGACAGUUCGGUCCAUAUCCGGUGUAGGCGUUAGAAUAUUGAGAGGAGCCUUCUUUAGUACGAGAGGACCGAGAAGGACAUACCUCUGGUGUACCAGUUAUCGUGCCAACGGUAAACGCUGGGUAGCUAUGUAUGGAGAGGAUAACCGCUGAAAGCAUCUAAGUGGGAAGCCCACCUCAAGAUAAG